CUGACGUCUGUUUACCACUGUUUGGCAACGCGGUCUGCGCCUGCGUUCAACGGCAUUCUGGGUAACGGAGUUCCCCAUGUGUCAGACAGCCGUGGCAUAAACAGCAGCUCGAAGAGGCAACAUGUACCUGCAUUAUAUUCUGUCACUCACGAUUGAAGAGCACCUAUGAUAAAAAUUGAAGACUUCUACAUGCUUUGCAAGUGGGAAAACCUGCUAAAUUGGUAAUGUAUCAAAUGCUUGUUCUCCCCACUGUAACUAAAGAUUGGUGUUCAAAGUUUAGUGGUUUUCAUUUCCUUCUUUAGUGUUUAAUUUAACAACAAACUUAACUGUACUGUUUUCUUGAAGUUAAUGUUUGUAUUGUUCAGUUACCCCUAUUGUGUUUUAGUUCGAGUGAAAAGGCCUAUGAUUGAUGGGUAUAAAUCCAUCAAAAGGCCAGUAAGUUGACAGAACAAAUGCAGGGCACCGUCUUCCAUGAUCAUCUGUUUGGUACUUUGUUGUCUGGGUCUUUAAAUAACUGUAAAGUACUCCACUAUUGUAAACUAGGAAGUAGUAUCUGUAUUGUAGCUCUAUGCCUAAUCUACCGGCAUCUGUUUGUGCUUCAACCGACCUGUAGCUUUGUGUGUUGUAAUCCUGAUUCAUCUUGCAUACCUGUGUGUCUUCCUGUCCAUUGAGAUGAAUAGUAACACGCCCCACCGAAACUGCCCUUAAUCUCCAUCUUUAAUGUUUGUUUUUAAACCUGCGCCGCUCCUUGUUAGCUGAGUCACGCCUGAGACGAGGCUGGUGAGAAGUUUCCUGUUUAGGACGCUCCAGUGGCUCCAGGUGUCUAGCAACCAGGUGCAGAGCCAUUUUGCCCAUUCCUGGCAUAAUAACUUGAAAGCACAUGCUAUGAUGUCAACAUAAAGCAGAACUACUAGACCCACCACAGAGUGUCGGAGGGACAGCUGAAGGAGACCUGCGAUGGGCAGAUGAAUUAAACUGUUACUUCAACAGGUUUAGUUCUUUCUCCACUCCCUCUGCCCCCCAUCCUGCUCCCCCUCUUCUCACGUCUUCAGCCCAACAGACACUCCUCCCUUCCCCAGACUACCUUCACCUACAGCCAGCCCCUCCACACCCAUGCCUCCACCCCAUCCCAUUCGGACUGUAUGCAGCACCAGCGCCCCCUCUGCCCCCUACCCCCAG